rnacentral:rRNA from 1 species
GACGAAGGGGCUAGCGUUGUUCGGAAUUACUGGGCGUAAAGCGCGUGUAGGCGGUUGUCCAAGUUGGAUGUGAAAGCCUUGAGCUUAACUCAAGAAAUGCAUUCAGGACUGGAUGACUAGAGGACCGGAGAGGAUAGUGGAAUUCCCAGUGUAGUGGUGAAAUACGUAGAGAUUGGGAAGAACACCAGUGGCGAAGGCGGCUAUCUGGACGGUUUCUGACGCUAAGACGCGAAAGCGUGGGGAGCAAACAGG